UAUCGCAAUACAAAUUAAAAAUGCAGUAUUUGCAACGUACGUACUGCAUUUUUUCAUAGUAUCAUUGCUUUACUGCUUUUUAACUUGGCAACACAGACAAAAACGUGGGUUAUCUAUGACGAAUACGGCGUCAUUGCAACUGCAAGCGUCAUCUGAUUAGUGUGUGCGUUGGUUGUUCGUUCGUGUUUUCGUAUUUGGUGUUUCUUUUUUUUCGGUAAAGAUUAUUUUUAUAGUGAAUUAUAUUUAGGACUAUUCAAUUUAUCGUAGAGUGUUAUAAAAAUCAUAAAAUGUUGUGUGAUAUUUGCAACACUUGGAUGUCAAGGACUCAAUAUAUGCUACAUCGUGCUUCAGACAAAUGUAAAUCUUCAUUGUUAGAUGAUUCUAGAACAGUUGUAUCUGAAGUAACUGUUGAUAAAAUGGAAGUCGUAGUGUAUGAGGCAGAAAUUAUGGAGGAUAGAGGAGAUAUUGUUUUAGAUGAGUCUGU